rnacentral:rRNA from 1 species
CUGCUGCCUCCCGUAGGAGUUUGGGCCGUGUCUCAGUCCCAAUGUGGCCGUCCACCCUCUCAGGCCGGCUACUGAUCGUCGCCUUGGUGGGCCGUUACCCCGCCAACAAGCUAAUCAGACGCGGGUCCAUCUUACACCACCGGAGUUUUUCACACAAAUCCAUGCGGCUUCGUGCGCUUAUGCGGUAUUAGCACCUAUUUCUAAGUGUUAUCCCCCAGUGUAAGGCAGGUUACCCAGCGUUACUCACCCGUCCGCCACUAAGA